UGGCUAGAUCACACAACUGGAAGGAAGAAAAAGCUGACUGUUCUAGAAAGAGCACAUACUUAGAACCAAGACACCUGGAUUCUGAGCAGGACCCCUGGCUCCGGAUCCCUUCUGGGCACCACCCCUCUACCUCCUCGGGUUGUCCUCUGCGGUCCACGGCCACAGAAACCACCAAGAGCCAUCACUGACAGAGGCACCUUACCAUUUCCUGCCCAGGGCAAAGCCUGGCUUGCGGUCUCCUCCUUUGCCCAUUCCUUUGUGGAGGUAGGAGACUCCCAACACCUUGCUUCCCUCGUCAUGAGAAUCAAAACUGUAAGGAGGGACCUCUUCCUUUAGACACAUGCCCUUUAUACCUUCUUUCAGUCAGAAGGUGCUGGCACCUAAUUUCAGUGCAUCUGACAUAGUUUACAGAGUAUCCUAGAAUUUCAUAACUAGAGUGGGCUUGGCAAGAAAACCGGUAUAAUAUUUUCAUGCAAUCCACAAGGAACCUGGGGCCCCAAGGAGGGAAAGUAACUUGCUCACGAAGAGACAGUAAAUUAGGAAGAGGUCUCACGGCUCUUCUCAAAGAACAGGACAAAUGCUUUAAAAUGGUCAAGGCCUUUUCCAUAUAAGAUCCCCAUUUUUUGCAGGAGAGCCCAUUGAAGCACAGAGAGGUUAAGUGACUUGCCCAGGGUUGCACAGAAGUGUUUGGCAUCGCUGGCCUUGAAUCCAAGCCUUCUGAUUGGAAUUCCAGUGUUCUUAUAAUUUCACCAUGUUCUCUCCAAUCUGCCUAACAAACAAACAAACAAACAAAAAUCAAUAAGUAAACAUUCCAGAACAUGCCGAAGAGAUGUGGAGGGAGAAAAAAAAAAUUAUCAUUCUCCAUGAUUCCUUUUUUUUUUUCCUUGUUACUGAAGGCACUCGAUAGGCAGUAAACUCAAUAGAAGGAAAAGUCUCUUUCUGAGA